AUUGAACGCUGGCGGCAGGCCUAACACAUGCAAGUCGAACGGUAACAGGGAUCAGCUUGCUGAUUCGCUGACGAGUGGCGGACGGGUGAGUAAUGUCUGGGAAACUGCCUGAUGGAGGGGGAUAACUACUGGAAACGGUAGCUAAUACCGCAUAACGUCGCAAGACCAUAGAGGGGGACCUUCGGGCCUCUUGCCAUCGGAUGUGCCCAGAUGGGAUUAGCUAGUAGGUGGGGUAACGGCUCACCUAGGCGACGAUCCCUAGCUGGUCUGAGAGGAUGACCAGCCACACUGGAACUGAGACACGGUCCAGACUCCUACGGGAGGCAGCAGUGGGGAAUAUUGCACAAUGGGCGCAAGCCUGAUGCAGCCAUGCCGCGUGUAUGAAGAAGGCCUUCGGGUUGUAAAGUACUUUCAGCGGGGAGGAAGGGAGUAAAGUUAAUACCUUUGCUCAUUGACGUUACCCGCAGAAGAAGCACCGGCUAACUCCGUG
rnacentral:rRNA from 1 species